AAUAAGAUUCGCAAGAAUUUUAUUGGAAUAGUGGCAAACGGGUGAGUAACACGUAGGUAAUCUACACACAGGAAGAGAAUAACUCUGAGAAAUCGGAGCUAAUACUCUAUAUUGCUUAAGCAUCGCAAGAUGCUAAAGUGAAAGUUCUAGUGAAAACUGGAACGCCAGUGAAUGAACCUGCGGUCUAUCAGUUAGUUGGUGGGGUAACGGCCUACCAAGCCUACGACGGAUAUCUCGACUGAAAGGUUUUUGAGACACACUGGCAUUGAGAUACGGGCCAGACUCCUACGGGAGGCAGCAGCUAGGAAUUUUGCGCAAUGGGCGAAAGCCUGACGCAGCAACGCCGCGUGAAGGAUGGAGGUCUUCGGAUCGUAAACUUCUUUUGGAGGUGACGAAGGUUCAGCGUAAGCUGAAUUUGACGGUAAUCUCAGAAAAAGCCACGGCUAACUACGUGCCAGCAGCCGCGGUAAUGCGUGGGUGGCAAGCGUUGUUCGGAAUUACUAGGCGUAAAGGGCGUGUAGGUGGGAAGGUAAAUCACAUGUGAAAGCUCUGAGCUUAACUUGGAGAGGUCUUGUGAAAUUGCCUUUCUUGAGUGUGGGAGAGGGAACUGGAAUUUCUGGUGUAGCGGUGAAAUGCGUAGAGAUCAGAAGGAAUACCAAUGGCGAAGGCAGGUUCCUGGCCCAAUACUGACACUGAAGCGCGAAAGCUAGGGGAGCAAACAGGAUUAGAUACCCUGGUAGUCCUAGCCGUAAACGAUGGUCAUUUGGUAUGGGAGGUAUAAAUUCCUUCCGUGCCGUAGUAAACACGUUAAAUGACCCGCCUGGGGAGUACGAUCGCAAGAUUGAAACUCAAAGGAAUUGACGGGGGCCCGCACAAGCGGUGGAGCAUGUGGUUUAAUUCGACACAACGCGAAGAACCUUACCUGGGCUUGAACCAUUGGUAGUAAAAUCUCGAAAGAGAAAUGAUCCUGAUGUAAAUCGGGAAACCAAUAGAGGUGCUGCAUGGUUGUCGUCAGCUCGUGUCGUGAGAUGUUAGGUUAAGUCCUGUAACGAGCGCAGCCCUUAUCUCAUGUUGCUAUCUCGAUAACAAUCGAGUGUACUCUUGAGAAACUGCCUCGGAUAACGAGGAGGAAGGAGAGGAUGACGUCAAAUCAUCAUGGCCUUUAUGUCCAGGGCCACACACGUGCUACAAUGGUUAGUACAGCGGGAAGCGAAUCUGUGAAGAGGAGCCAAUCCCUAAAAACUAACCCCAGUUCAGAUUGUGGGCUGCAACUCGCCCACAUGAAGGAGGAAUCGCUAGUAAUCGCGAAUCAGCAGGUCGCGGUGAAUACGUUCUCGGGCCUUGUACACACCGCCCGUCACACCACGAAAAUCAGCUAUAAUCGAAUUCUAACCUUGAGUUGGAACAAGUUAUGACUGAUGAUUGGGGUGAAGUCGUAACAAGGUA
rnacentral:rRNA from 1 species